UACAUGCAAGUCGAGGGGGCAGCAAUGUCACCGGCGAACGGGUGCGUAACGCGUAUGCAACCUGGCCAUAUCAGGGGGAUAGCCCUAGGAAACUGGGAUUAAUACCGCAUAAUACGGUGAUUGGCAUCAAUUGCUGUUGAAAGAUUUAUUGGAUAUGGAUGGGCAUGCGUAGGAUUAGUUAGUUGGUGGGGUAACGGCUCACCAAGGCGACGAUCUGUAGCGGGUCUGAGAGGAUGAUCCGCCACACUGGGACUGAGACACGGCCCAGACUCCUACGGGAGGCAGCAGUGGGGAAUAUUGGACAAUGGGCGGAAGCCUGAUCCAGCCAUGCCGCGUGUGUGAAGAAGGCCUUAUGGUUGUAAAGCACUUUAAGCGAGGAGGAGGCUACUCUAGUUAAUACCUAGAGAUAGUGGACGUUACUCGCAGAAUAAGCACCGGCUAACUCUGUGCCAGCAGCCGCGGUAAUACAGAGGGUGCGAGCGUUAAUCGGAUUUACUGGGCGUAAAGCGUGCGUAGGCGGCUGAUUAAGUCGGAUGUGAAAUCCCUGAGCUUAACUUAGGAAUUGCAUUCGAUACUGGUCAGCUAGAGUAUGGGAGAGGAUGGUAGAAUUCCAGGUGUAGCGGUGAAAUGCGUAGAGAUCUGGAGGAAUACCGAUGGCGAAGGCAGCCAUCUGGCCUAAUACUGACGCUGAGGUACGAAAGCAUGGGGAGCAAACAGGAUUAGAUACCCU
rnacentral:rRNA from 1 species